UCGAGAAUCUUCGUCAAUGGGCGAAAGCCUGAACGAGCGACGCCGCGUGCGGGAUGAAGGCCCUUGGGUUGUAAACCGCUGUCGAGGGGGAUGAAGGUUUCAAGGUACUCCUUGAAAUUUGACAGAGCCCUGGAGGAAGCACGGGCUAAGUUCGUGCCAGCAGCCGCGGUAAUACGAACUGUGCGAACGUUAUUCGGAAUCACUGGGCUUACAGGGUGCGUAGGCGGCUAUUCAGGUCAGGUGUGAAAGCCCUCGGCUCAACCGAGGAACUGCGCUUGAAACCGGAUGGCUCGAGUCAGCUAGAGGUGCACGGAACUUCCAGUGGAGCGGUGAAAUGUGUUGAUAUUGGAAGGAACACCGGAGGCGAAAGCGGUGCACUGGGGCUGGUCUGACGCUGAGGCACGAAAGCCAGGGGAGCGAACGG
rnacentral:rRNA from 1 species